AGGUAGUACAAACUGUCUGCACGUUUGCAUUCGACUGUGAGACAGUGUGUCCUCCCUCA
rnacentral:pre_miRNA from 1 species